UACAGAGGGGGCAAGCGUUGUUCGGAAUUACUGGGCGUAAAGGGCGCGUAGGCGGCCUGUUAAGUCGAACGUGAAAUCCCUGGGCUCAACCCAGGAACUGCGUCCGAUACUGGCAGGCUUGAAGCCGGGAGAGGGAUGUGGAAUUCCAGGUGUAGCGGUGAAAUGCGUAGAUAUCUGGAGGAACACCGGUGGCGAAGGCGGCAUCCUGGACCGGUAUUGACGCUGAGGCGCGAAAGCCAGGGGAGCAAACGGG
rnacentral:rRNA from 1 species